rnacentral:rRNA from 1 species
GACGAACGCUGGCGGUGUGCUUAACACAUGCAAGUCGAACGGAAAGGCCCUGCUUUCGUGGGGUGCCGGAGUGGCGAUCGGGUGAGUAACACGUGAGUAACCUGCUCUUCACUUUGGGAUAACUUCAGGUAACUGGGGUUACUAUCGGAUAGCAGCCCCCGUUGCAUGGUGGGGGUUGGAACGUCUCGGCGGUCGCGGAUGGACGCGCGGCUUACCAGCUUGUUGGUGGGGUAGUGGCUUACCAACGCAUUGACCGGUAGCCGGCCUGAGAGGGUGACCGGCCACAUGGGUACUGAGAGACGGCCCAGAGUCGUACGGUGGACAGCAGUGGGGAAUAUUGCACAAUGAGCGGGAGCCUGAUGCGGCAGCGCCGCGGGCGGAAUGACGGCCUGCGGGUUGUGAACCGCAUUCGCCUGUUACGAAGCGUGAGUGACGGUAAUGAAUAAAGAAGCACCAGCUAACUUCGUG